AGGGCGUUCUGCAGCGACCCAGCUAUAAGUUCUUCAAGUCUCUGGACGAAGAUUUCGGAGUGGUGAAGGAGGAGAUCUCGGAUGACAACGCUAAGCUGUCGUGCUUCAAUGGCCGGGUGGUGUCCUGGCUGGUGUCCGCUGAGGGCUCACACCCAGACCCAGCCCCCUUCUGUGCUGACAGCCCAUCGAAGCUGCCACCACCUAUGGAGCGCACUGGAGGCAUCGGGGACUCCCAACCACCAUCCUUCCACCCUCACGCCGGUGGAGGCAGCCAGGAAAACCUGGACAAUGACACAGAAACGGACUCCUUGGUGUGUGCCCAGCGAGAGCGUCCACGCCGGAGGGAUGGCCCAGAGCAUGCAGCCCGGCUCAACGGAACUGCGAAAGGGGAGCGGAGGCGAGAGCCACGCGGUUACGACAGCUCGUCCACCCUCAUGAGCAGCGAGCUGGAGACCACCAGCUUCUUUGACUCAGAUGAGGAUGACUCCACCAGCAGGUUCAGCAGCUCCACAGAGCAGAGCAGCGCCUCACGCCUGAUGAGACGACACAAGCGGCGGCCGCGGAAGCAGAAGGUUUCCCGGAUUGAGCGGUCCUCAUCCUUCAGCAGCAUCACGGACUCCACCAUGUCACUCAACAUCAUCACGGUCAUUCUCAACGUGGAAAAAUAUAACUUCUUGGGCAUCACCAUUGUGGGCCAAAGCAACGAGCGUGGAGACGGCGGCAUCUACAUUGGCUCUAUCAUGAAGGGUGGGGCCGUGGCUGCUGACGGGCGCAUCGAGCCAGGAGAUAUGCUGUUACAGGUAAACGAGAUCAACUUUGAGAACAUGAGUAAUGACGACGCAGUCCGGGUACUGCGGGAGACUGUGCACAAACCGGGGCCCAUCACCCUUGCUGUAGCCAAGUGCUGGGACCCAAGUCCACGUGGUUGCUUCACGUUGCCCAGGAGCGAGCCCAUCCGGCCCAUUGACCCUGCGGCCUGGGUCUCCCACACUGCAGCCAUGACGGUCACCUUCCCUGCAUACCGCAUGAGCCCCUCCCUGAGCACCAUCACCUCCACCAGCUCCUCCAUCACCAGUUCUAUCCCUGACACAGAGCACCUAGACGACUUCCACCUGUCCAUCCACAGUGACAUGGCUGCCAUCGUAAAAGCCAUGGCCUCCCCUGAAUCAGGGUUGGAGGUCCGUGACCGCAUAUGGCUCAAGAUUACCAUCCCUAACGCUUUCAUCGGCUUGGAUGUGGUGGACUGACUGUACCACAAUGUGGAAGGCUUCACGGACCAGAGCGAGGCCCGCAAGUAUGCCAGCAACCCGCUGAAAGCUGGCUUCAUCCGCCACACCGUCAACAAGAUCACCUUCUCCGAGCAGUGCUACUACAUAUUUGGCGACCUCUGCGGCAACAUGGCCAACCUGUCUCUCCACGAUCACGAUGGCUCCAGUGGUGCCUCUGACCAGGACACGCUGGCCCCUUUGCCGCACCCAGGGGCCGCCCCGUGGCCCAUGGCUUUCCCGUACCAGUACCCGCCACCCCCGCACCCCUACAACCCGCACCCGGGUUUCCCAGAGCUGGGCUACAGCUACAGCGGGGGCAGUGCCAGCAGUGAGCACAGCGAAGGCAGUCGGAGCAGUGGCUCCAACCAUAGCGGCAGUGAUCGGAGGAAAGAGAAGGACCCGAAGGCCGGGGACUCCAAUGCAAGGGGUAGCAGCAGCGAAUCGGACCACACGACACGCAGCAGCCUGCGGGGGCCGCGGGAGCGGGCGCCCAGCGAGCGCUCAGGCCCGGCGGCCAGUGAACACAGCCACCACAGCCACCAUCCUCUGGCCAGCAGCCUUCGCAGCCACCACACACACCCGAGCUAUGGUCCUCCCGGCGUGCCCCCUCUCUACGGCCCCCCAUGCUGAUGAUGCCCCCACUGCCCACGACCUUGGGGCCCCCAGGAGCCCCUCCGGUCCGCCACCUGGCCUCAGGGCCCCCGGAACUGACCGCCAGCAGACAGUCCUUCCGCAUGGCCAUGGGAAACCCCAGUGAGUUCUUUGUGGAUGUGAUGUGAGCAGGGCCCCUCCCCACCUCCAUUCUGCUCCCACCCUGGCCGGCUGCGUUCCUCUCCAUCCGUCCGUCUUUUUUACUUUGUUUGGUACCUGAAAGGGAAAUAAACGGAACUAAAUCCAAAAAAAAA